rnacentral:misc_RNA from 1 species
AUUUCUUUAUUAAUUUUUUAUAUAUAAUUUAUAUUAAAUAUAAAAAUAUAUUUUUUAAAUAAAAAGACGAUAAGACCCUAUUAAAUUUUACUUAUAGUUUAACUGGGGAAGUUUUAAAAAUAAAAUUUUUUAUAAAAAUAAAAAUAAAUCUAAUAAAAUUAAAAUUAAAUUAAAUUACUAUAGGGAUAACAGCAUUAUAUUUUUUAAAAGUUCAUAUUAAAAAAAAUGAUUGUGACCUCGAUGUUGAAUUAUAUUUUCUUUAUUAAUGCAAUAAUUAUAAAAGUAGAUCUGUUCGAUCUUUAAAAUAUUACAUGAUUUGAGUUCAAACCGGUGUAAACCAGGUUGGUUUCUAUCUUUUUAUAAAUUCAUAUAUAUAUAUAUAUAUAUAUAUAUAUAAAUUUUUCAAGUACGAAAGGAAAAAAAAAUUUUUAUUUUAAUUAAUUAGCAAUUAAUAUGCAUUAGAUUUAGAAUCUAAAUAAACUAUUAUU